rnacentral:lncRNA from 1 species
AUGCGCGAGCACUUAGUUCAGACAAAAAGUCCAAAAAGUUAUAUUACAGUUCUUAGAAACAUGUCAAACGAUGUACAGAAUCAAUCUUUAGGAUGUUUUUAACAUAAAUCUUCAAUAAUGUUUCAACCGGACAAUUGCUUUGUCUUUAGAAAUGAAAAAGAACGGACCUCGCUCUCACGGCCGAGCGCAUGACUUAGCUCAUGGCAUUCUGCCAGACCCCUUAGUCAAACAGCUCUUAUUCGCUCCCCCUUCAUAGAAGAAGCCUGAAACAAAGUUCUAAAUACUGUUGACAUCUAGUGGAAGCCUUAGAAAGUGCAAUAUGACCCCAUAGACACUGUAUAUUGGAUAGGAAAUCACUUAAAAAAAAACUACAAACCUCAGAUUUCCUACUCCCUGGUUGGAUAUUUUCUCAUGUUUUUGCCUGUCAUAUGAGUUCUGUUUUACUCGCAGACAUAAUUCAAACAGUUUUAGAAAUGUCAGAGUGUUUUCAAUCCAAAUCUAAUCUAACUAAUUAUAUGCAUAUUCUAGCUUCUGGGCCUGAGUAGCAGGCAGUUUACUGUGGGCACCUUAUUCAUCCAAGCUACUCAAUACUGCCCCCCAGUCCCAAAGUAGUUAAUCCUGAUUAUUGUCCUUGCUUGCAUCAUGUACAAGAUGAACCAGAGAAAGUGUAUACAGUGCAGAGGUAAGUGACAACCUUUUAGAAGUUGCUCUUCUUUAACAUUACCGUCUACAGAUGUAUCUGCAUGGGAAGAAGGAGUUGCAUCUUUAUCUUUGAGGUGUUUCUUUUCAGGAUCCGUCUCUCUGACACCAUGUUCAGCAGUCUCUUCUACAGAUGCAGGGGACCAAGAUGGAGACAGUCUCCAUUACGUAGCUCUGAAUCUGAGCAACAAGAAGAACAGGUCUAGAAGACAGAGAGGUCACAUGGAGACAGUGGUGAAUGCUGGGAUCAGACAGUAGAACUGGAUGAAUGAAACAGUCCAAUGAAUUCUCUUUUUAUCAACUCCCACUUUAUUAACAUUAUUAUCUGUAUUACUGUAACACAUAAUUACUGUAGCUAAUUGAAUUAGGUGCAUUGCUUCUCUGCCAAACUAAUUUUAAAUGGACUUGCUUGUGACAAGAUGAAUAAAGCAUUUAACAACAGUCAAGACAAAGGAAGUUGAAUGUAUUUAUUAAGGCCAUACUCAGGAUCUUUAAAGACGCAAUAUGCAGAAAUCACUACGCCAUUUCCUGGUUGCUAAAAUUCUAAUAGUUCACCUAAUUUCAGUUUAUGUGACAAAGCCAUCAAUGCAUGUGUAGAGAAUCAUUGUACCAUCUAAACUCCUUUGAAAUAUAUUUUCAAUAACCCCAAAUAUUGUAUUUUCAGCUGUUUAAAGCUGGUGUACAAAACCAAUACGCAAAAACUAAACUUAAGAACGGGAAGCUUAGAAAUAGAGACCAUAGAACAGAUCUACCACUUCUUAGACUUGCUUUCAAUGAGAAUGAGAAUUAAAUAUCUAUAAUCUACAUUUCUAUGUGAAUUUGGCCGGUUCACACAAAAAGUUCCACAUUGUUGCUUUCAGAGCAGGAAGCAUAGAUAUAGCGCACUUAUAACAGAUCUACCGCUUCUUAAUUUUUGCUGUCAAUGAGAAUGAUAGAUAUAUAACUCACAUUUCUAUGUGAUUUUGGUAAGUUUGCUUAAAAGUGAUGUAUUACAGCUUUAAUUUGAAGUGUUAA